CGGCAGGCUUAACACAUGCAAGUCGAGGGGCAGCAUGUCCAGCAAUGGAUGAUGGCGACCGGCGUACGGGUGCGCAACGCGUGAGCAACCUACCCAUAACAGUGGGAUAACCCGGARAAAUUCGGACUAAUAUCACAUAAUAUUAUUAKAAGGCAUCUUUUGAUAAUUAAAGCUUUGGUGGUUAUGGAUGGGCUCGCGUGACAUUAKCUUGAUGGUAAGGUAACGGCUUACCAUGGCUAUGAUGUCUAGGGGUUCUGAGAGGAAGGCCCCCCACACUGGGACUGAGACACGGCCCAGACUCCUACGGGAGGCAGCAGUGAGGAAUAUUGGACAAUGGUCGAAAGACUGAUCCAGCCAUGCCGCGUGCAGGAAGACGAUCCUAUGGAUUGUAAACUGCUUUUAUGAGGGAGCAAUAAGGGCUACKUGUAGUCCGAUGAGAGUACCUCAUGAAUAAGCAUCGGCUAACUCCGUGCCAGCAGCCGCGGUAAUACGGGGGAUGCAAGCGUUAUCCGGAUUUAUUGGGUUUAAAGGGUGCGUAGGCGGCUUGAUAAGUCAGCGGUGAAAUUUUGCAGCUCAACUGUAAACGUGCCGUUGAUACUGUCUGGCUGGAAAGUAGUUGAAGUGAGUGGAAUSUGUGGUGUAGCGGUGAAAUGCUUAGAUAUCACACAGAAUAUCAAUUGCGUAGGCAGCUCACUAAGCUAUAUUUGACGCUGAGGCACGAAAGUGUGGGGAUCAAACAGGAUUAGAUACCCUGGUAGUCCACACUGUAAACGAUGAUCACUCGUUGUCGGCAAUAUACCGCCGGUGACCAAGCGAAAGCGAUAAGUGAUCCACCUGGCGAGUACGACCGCAAUGKACC
rnacentral:rRNA from 1 species